rnacentral:rRNA from 1 species
UUAUGGUGGGCGACUCUAAGGAGGACUGCCGGUGACAAACCGGAGGAAGGUGGGGAGUGACGUCAAGUCAUCAUGGCCCUUACGGCCUGGGCUACACACGUGCUACAAUGGUCGGUACAAAGGGUUGCCAAGCCGCGAGGUGGAGCUAAUCCCAUAAAACCGAUCGUAGUCCGGAUCGCAGUCUGCAACUCGACUGCGUGAAGUCGGAAUCGCUAGUAAUCGUGAAUCAGAAUGUCACGGUGAAUACGUUCCCGGGCCUU